UUUUUAUAAUUCCCUUUAUAUUAAAAUUUUUAUAGAAUAUACCUGCUCCCUUCUUUUUGGGGUUACUGAACUUGCUUGUAAUCUCUUCUUCCCUGCUUCUUCUCAUACUCCAGUGUAUGUUUAAAACAAUAUCCUUUUACUCUCAGUAACCACGAGGCACUUGGCAAGCUUAUUCUACCGUCUACACCCUCUCUCCAUUCUCACCUUUGGAUGGCUGUUGUGGGAGGCGGCAAUCCACCUUGCUGUUGCCCUGCUGUCACCCUGCUGUCACUUUAAAGCCAUAAUUCAGUCUUGGUUCCACAGGUAGAUACAGAUUUAGCACCCACCACCAGUCCUGUGUGUCGAUGUAUCUGCAGUUAUUUUGGUUGUGUGAUUUCUGUGCACUUUUUGAUCUUAGGACCAACCCAUUUGCACUUCUGAAAAAAUUACUGAAGUCCCUCAAAGAGCUAAAUCUGUUGAUAUUUAUGUAUUAGAAAUUUGAACUAAGAAAUCUUUAAAAUAUUAAUUCAUUUUUAAAAAUGAAAGAUUCAUUAUAUUUAAACAUGAAUAAUAUAUUUUUAUGGAAAAUAGUCAUAUUUUCCAAAACGAAAAAAAUUUUCAGUGAGGAAAGUGGCAUUGCUUUACAUUUUUUCCAAAUCUCUUUAUGUCUGACUUAAUAGAAGACAACUGGAUUUUCAUACCGGCUUCUGUAUUCAAUCUGUUGUAAUAAAUUGCUUUGAUGUAUGGAGAAAAUGUGGCUUCACACAGAUACGCAGCUGGAAAAGGAAGCAGUUGUUUUAAUUGUGUCUUCAGAUAAUUGAAGAUAUUCUUCUAUGAUGCUAGACCAAAACUCAAUGAGUAGCAGUUUCCUAAAGGUGGUGACACUCAGACUUCAUCUUCACUCUGUUUUUGAUUUCAUCGGGGAAAAAUAUUAAUAUGCGGGCAAGGAUAAGAAAGAAUGAAUUCAUGGCACCCAGAAGAAGGUGCUGGAUGCACGGCAGUCCUAUCACAGAUUGGAAAACGGGGAAGAAACCCCUUUCUUUUACAAAAUCAGCAUCCAGCCUGAGUUUAAGCCUGGCACCACCUCAUGAGCAGGUCACCUCGCCUUGGUGACAUGGGCUGGGACUGCUGUCUGGAAGAGAGCAAGGAUGUGCUAACUAUGAGAGAUGGCUGUUUCCUCCACGUGACUCAACUUCCCUUUGUGAAAUAGCCCUGGCAUCGGGGUUGGUUUUAGAGAGAGAAAGAUGUCGUCCUGGUUCUUUGGCUCCUUGCUUGGAAGACUUACAAGCUCGGCUGCACUGGAGCGAUGACAGACACGAAGCACUGCCACACGAGCAGCUUUUAUUGCAAAGCGGAAGUAAGUUCCAGAGAGAGGAACAGGUCUACCCCGUGAGUGGGAAAGACCCUGAGUUUAAAGACAGAGUAUAGAAGGUAUGGCACAGUCUCAAGGUCAGCAGAGAAUGGACUGCUCCAGUAAGGAACAGUGUCAUCCCAGGGUUAGGGUUGUCCUUUAUGCUAAUCCCUAACAGUAUGUUAAGCUGGGGUUGGAAUAUUCAUGUCUUUUCAGGGGAGUGGGUGGAGAUUCCCUGAGUCACGUACCCUCCCAUUUUCUGUCCUUGUAUGGCUGGCUCCAGACUGUCAUGGUGCUAGGGGCUGUGAUUUUUGCUAUGCUAACGGAGAAAGGUUACCUGCCAGCAGGUUCUCCAGCCCUCUGCACAUACCCUGGUGGAAGGAAAGUCCCUAAACCACCAUUUCUCGCUGUUGUGGUAUGUACUCCCUCAUUGGUCUGUGCCACCUACCAACCUCAUCCCUACCUAACUCUGGGGUGCUCUCCCUGCAUCAGCCCUGGCAGGAGGAGCCUGCCUGCCCAGGCUGGCACCUGUGACUUCCCUCCACUCACCCUAUAAUAAGCCCUUCAUCACGUGCAGAGAAUGGGCCAGGCCUUGGCCUUGGCGAGUGGUCACAUCUUCUGUCCCUGGUUAGGAGUAGGUGCUUGUCUCCCUAUGGAAAUUCACUGUUAAGCUUCCUAGUUCCUAGGGGAUCUUCAAUGUCUUCCUUAAUAUCUGCCCUGGGUGAUUAAGACUGGAUCCAGGGAACACCCUGUAUGUACAAACUUCAUUCUAUUCAUCUUAUCUCUCA